GGGCAGUUCCAUAAGUUCAGUGGUAGAGCAUCACCUUUGCUUGCAGUGGGUCCCAGGCAUUUCUGGAUUGGGCUGAGAAAGGCCUGAAACCCAGGGGAACCACAGUCUGUCAGUGUAGACAAUACUGAGCUCUAAUAUAACAUGAGGCAGCUUCAUGUGGAGCAUCUGUAGCCGAAGAGCACAGGUAUUGGAUGCUGAAGGUCCUAGGUUCAAUCCCCGGUGUGUCCA